rnacentral:rRNA from 1 species
UACGUAGGAGACGAGCGUUGUCCGGAGUUACUGGGCGUAAAGGGUGCGCAGGUGGCGGCGCGCGUGGGGGGUGAAAUCGCCCGGCUUAACUGGGCGGGGGCCUUCCAGACGGCGUGGCUUGAGCAGCGGAGGGGGACGUGGAAUUCCGGGUGGAGCGGUGAAAUGCGUAGAGAUCCGGAGGAACACCGACGGCGCAGGCAGCGUCCUGGCCGCUUGCUGACAGCUGAGGCACGAAGGCCCAGGGGAGCAAAACGGGG